AGCUUUUUGGGGGAGGUUCAGGUGAUGGGUCAGUAAUAUUCCAGAAUCACACCCAAGCUUACCCAUGUCAAGUUUACCUGUUUCAAGCUUUUUGUGGCUGAGGUGACAGCUUGGUAAUAUUCCAGAAUCACACCCAAGCUUACCCAUGUCAAGUUUACCUGUUUCAAGCUUUUUGUGGCUGAGGUGACAGCUUGGUAUUACUCCAGAAUCACACCCAAGCUUACCCAUGUCAAGUUUACCUGUUUCAAGCUUUUUGUGGCUGAGGUGACAGCUUGGUAACAUUCCAGAAUCACACCCAAGCUUACCCAUGUCAAGUUUACCUGUUUCAAGCUUUUUGUGGCUGAGGUGACAGCUUGGUAACAUUCCAGAAUCACACCCAAGCUUACCCAUGUCAAGUUAACCUGUUUCAAGCUUUUUGUGGCUGAGGUGACAGCUUGGUAACAUUCCAGAAUCACACCCAAGCUUACCCAUGUCAAGUUUACCUGUUUCAAGCUUUUUGUGGCUGAGGUGACAGCUUGGUAUUAUUCCAGAAUCACACCCAAGCUUACCCAUGUCAAGUUUACCUGUUUCAAGCUUUUUGUGGCUGAGGUGACAGCUUGGUAACAUUCCAGAAUCACACCCAAGCUUACCCAUGUCAAGUUUACCUGUUUCAAGCUUUUUGUGGCUGAGGUGACAGCUUGGUAUCAUUUCAGGUUUAAUCUUAGGGAGCACCACUCCAAACCAACAUUCGUAGUAAAUUAGCACGUGAGAGAAUUUUAAUGAUAAUGCAUUUUCGUAUACGUUUUACCUUGGGGAGGGGCCAGGGGGGCAAGCCUCAUUAAUUAUAAAGUUGGGUGGCUUGGAUUUUCUAAGUCCAUUGUUAUUGUUUCACGAGCGCCUCUAUGCACAGACUGAGCCUCGUACCUGCCUUGCAGUGCACCAAACAAACUAUAUAGCUCCCAAGUCAGUACACGCACGGAUCAUUACAAUUUUGGACAUAAAACAGUCUCUAUGAUUUCUAUGUUAUUUUCUUGGCUAUAUUAAAGCACAUAAUGGCACAAG